GAACCAUUUUUUGAGAUUUCUGUUAGAACUGCCAUAAUUGUUGUUUUUCAACCGUAGUGUACGGUUCAAUUUUAGGAAUUUUAUGAGUUCUAUUGAAAUAGUUGAAAAAUGGUUAAAUUUCAACCGUAAAACGUAUGAAAACUGGCAGCCAUCUUUGCGAAGGAACUUGUUUGUUUUUUUAUAGCUUUGCGAUGAGUUCAACAAUUCAGCUAUUCAAAAUCAGCGGUUUUACAAGUUUUGAUAAGAUUAUCUGGAAAUUCAAUGAAUGCGUAGAGUCGGUGUGCUAGCUGUGGCUCUAGUCUAAAUACAAGAUUCUUUUUAAAGAAAUGAUUUAAGAGCACUUCCCGUUGUUCAGCGAAUGUUCCGAUUGAAAAGCUGCGAUUAGAAACCACUGGAGGAACGGCUACUGGAUUUGGUGCUGUACAAUCACCGGGGAGGAGGCAGCCGCGCUUGCGAAAAUGAUUAUGGCAUCGGUCCUUAUUCGCCCUGCAAUUGUUGUAUUUAUUGCAUCUUCAUUGCCAGCAUCCAA